rnacentral:rRNA from 1 species
AGAGUUUGAUUCUGGCUCAGAUUGAACGCUGGCGGAAUGCUUUACACAUGCAAGUCGAACGGCAGCACGGGUGCUUGCACCUGGUGGCGAGUGGCGAACGGGUGAGUAAUGCGUCGGAACGUACCGAGUAAUGGGGGAUAACGCGGCGAAAGUCGCGCUAAUACCGCAUACGCCCUGAGGGGGAAAGUGGGGGAUCGCAAGACCUCACGUUAUUCGAGCGGCCGACGUCUGAUUAGCUAGUUGGUGGGGUAAAGGCCUACCAAGGCGACGAUCAGUAGCGGGUCUGAGAGGAUGAUCCGCCACACUGGGACUGAGACACGGCCCAGACUCCUACGGGAGGCAGCAGUGGGGAAUUUUGGACAAUGGGGGCAACCCUGAUCCAGCCAUUCCGCGUGAGUGAAGAAGGCCUUCGGGUUGUAAAGCUCUUUCAGCUGGAACGAAACGGUACGCUCUAACAUAGCGUGCUAAUGACGGUACCGGCAGAAGAAGCACCGGCUAACUACGUGCCAGCAGCCGCGGUAAUACGUAGGGUGCGAGCGUUAAUCGGAAUUACUGGGCGUAAAGCGUGCGCAGGCGGAUUGUUAAGCAAGACGUGAAAGCCCCGGGCUUAACCUGGGAAUGGCGUUUUGAACUGGCAGUCUAGAGUGCGUCAGAGGGGGGUGGAAUUCCACGUGUAGCAGUGAAAUGCGUAGAGAUGUGGAGGAACACCAAUGGCGAAGGCAGCCCCCUGGGAUGACACUGACGCUCAUGUACGAAAGCGUGGGUAGCAAACAGGAUUAGAUACCCUGGUAGUCCACGCCCUAAACGAUGUCAACUGGUUGUUGGGGGGAGUGAAAUCCCUUAGUAACGAAGCUAACGCGUGAAGUUGACCGCCUGGGGAGUACGGUCGCAAGAUUAAAACUCAAA